AUUUAUGUCAACCGAAUUGCAUGUGACGCAGAUAUAGACGACUCGGAGCCAUCUUCAGUGAUGAGAAGAGCAUCACAAGCAUCUUUGUUAUGGCGAGGAUUGACCAAGUGUCCAUGAUCUUGCAGUCUUGCAGUCGUGAGUGACAUUGAGCAGCUGGUGGCAUUGAUGUUGGGUGAUCAUUGUUGGUUCCCUAGGUCGUGCAUUCUUCAUAAAGUCAUGAAUGACAAAGAUGUGUGAAGAGCUCUUACAAUGAUGCAGAUGAGCUUGAUCCAUACAGAACACCUGGACUGCUUGAUGAUGUCACAGGAAUGGUGUGUAGAUCUCCUAAAGUAAGGACAUGUUAAUCAUCUCAAGAAUUCUAUCUGGAUACUUGGCUACCGACAUGCAUGUAGUUGAGAGUUAGUUAUUGUGAAUAAUUGAUUAUAAGCUUCUGUUAAUCUGAAGCUUGCUUGCUUUUUCAACACAUUGUGUAGUGCCAUAGGCUAUUAAUUAAGUUGUGAUAGAAAUGUGUAAACUCUUCAAAAUACUGUUUUUUCUGUCUUAAUAUUUACUUUAAAUUGUAAGUAGAGCUGCUGGUACACUGGUAUUGGACUCUUUAAUUGCAUGAGCUAUUGUAAGAACUUCUAAAUUAGUAGCAUGUUAUAGAUGAUUGGUUAUUAAUUAAAUAUUAUUACACAACUUAAAGUGUGUUACUGCAUGUUUGCUACUCUUUUUUUCUAUGUUCUUUUUGAUCGAAUAUCUUUCCUGCUUUCUUUUGCAGAAAAUUCUUCAAUUAUUUGAAGUCUUACUAUUUUUGCUAAUGCAUCUACUGCUGAGAUCAAACGUACAGUACAGUGAUUUUUAAGAGAAUUAGGUAAUUACACAAGGAGACACACACACACACACACACACACACACACACACACACACACACACACACACACACACACACACACACACACACACACACACA